rnacentral:rRNA from 1 species
UUAAAUUGAAGAGUUUGAUCAUGGCUCAGAUUGAACGCUGGCGGCAGGCCUAACACAUGCAAGUCGAACGGUAACAGGAAGAAGCUUGCUUCUUUGCUGACGAGUGGCGGACGGGGGAGUAAUGUCUGGGAAACUGCCUGAUGGAGGGGGAUAACUACUGGAAACGGUAGCUAAUACCGCAUAACGUCGCAAGACCAAAGAGGGGGACCUUCGGGCCUCUUGCCAUCGGAUGUGCCCAGAUGGGAUUAGCUUGUUGGUGGGGUAACGGCUCACCAAGGCGACGAUCCCUAGCUGGUCUGAGAGGAUGACCAGCCACACUGGAACUGAGACACGGUCCAGACUCCUACGGGAGGCAGCAGUGGGGAAUAUUGCACAAUGGGCGCAAGCCUGAUGCAGCCAUGCCGCGUGUAUGAAGAAGGCCUUCGGGUUGUAAAGUACUUUCAGCGGGGAGGAAGGGAGUAAAGUUAAUACCUUUGCUCAUUG